rnacentral:lncRNA from 1 species
UAUCUCAUUUACUCGAUUUCCGUUGCAAGGGAGGUAACUUCUAUAUUCUUGAGUUUAUUUUUUCCUACGUGCUCCUACGUGUUAUGUGAAUAUGCAUGUCUACUUUGCUUUCUUUGCCUUUCUUUAAUUCUUUUCAUUUUUUCUACUUACUUUUGCUUUUUAUUUAAGUUAUUCAUUAUGGGGUAUGUGUACACCUCUUGGCUUGUAAUAGUUAGGGAUUUAAUUAUUUUAUUCUUUUCCCCCCUUUUAGAUUGUAGUAGGGUCUCCCUAAUGUAAUAGAUAGGGCUUGGAGGAGCAUUCAAUGAAGACCUACCGAAGUCAUGUGCCUAGCUAGCAAAUGUAAUAGUUAGGGCUUUAAUUGUCUUAUGUGUCUUGCAUGCUUAG